rnacentral:tRNA from 1 species
CAUUAUGAAGCUAGUUAGCAUUAACCUUUUAAGUUAAAGACUGAGAGCCAAAGCCUCUCCAUAAUGA